rnacentral:lncRNA from 1 species
UCAUCACCUUCUUCCCCGCUAUUCACAAAUUCAUAAAAAGAAGUUAUCCGAUUAUCGUACCAUAAAAAGAAAGCCGCGGAGCGGCAGAGAUUCAAAGCCACACACGGCCAGUCUCGAAAUACAAACAAGGCCAUUCAAGGCCAAAACAUGAUAAAAUAAAAAAAAAUCUCUCGCAAGAGAUCUAACCCAAGUCACCCUCAGAACUCAAGCCCCCUCUUCACCUGCUGCCUCGUCCGAGCCUGGAGCCGCG